rnacentral:rRNA from 1 species
GCCCGGUAGCUAAGUGCGGAAAAGAUAAGUGCUGAAAGCAUCUAAGCACGAAACUUGCCCCGAGAUGAGUUCUCCCUGACCCCUUGAGGGUCCUGAAGGGACGUUGAAGACUACGACGUUGAUAGGCCGGGUGUGUAAGCGCAGCGAUGCGUUGAGCUAACCGGUACUAAUGACCCGUGAGGCUUAACCUUACAACGCCAGAGGCGUUU